GGGCGUAUGAUGUGGAAAAGGAGCUGUGUUGUGGUCCGAUUAGUGAUAAGAAGAUCCUAACAAGGAACUCUCCAGAUCACAUGUGCUGUCAUCAGGGCCAGUUCAACAGCAAGACUGAAUGUUGCUGCUGGAAGGAUGAUGGUGCUGAGAUACAACCGAGGAAUUCAUCUUGCUGUAUGCAACAAGAGGCACCUGUGUUCCAACCCAACUGGUAAGUUAACUGUGGCUUUGCCUUAGACUAACGGUGCGUUCACACCGAACGCGAUAGAGGCGGCCAGAGCGUCAGGUUUACAUGUAAAGUCAAUGGAAAGAGC
ensembl:lncRNA